rnacentral:rRNA from 1 species
UACGUAGGUGGCAAGCGUUGUCCGGAUUUACUGGGCGUAAAGAGCGCGCAGGCGGUCGUUCAAGUCGCGUGUGAAAGCCCCCGGCUCAACUGGGGAGGGUCACGCGAUACUGAUCGACUCGAAGGCAGGAGAGGGUAGUGGAAUUCCCGGUGUAGUGGUGAAAUGCGUAGAGAUGUGGAGGAACACCGAUGGCGAAGGCAGCCUACUGGGCCAGCACUGACGCUAAUGCACGAAAGCGUGGGGAGCAAACAGG